AUUGAACGCUGGCGGCAUGCCUUACACAUGCAAGUCGAACGGUAGAGUAGCAAUACUCGAGAGUGGCGAACGGGUGAGUAAUAUAUCGGAACGUGCCCAGUCGUGGGGGAUAACGUAGAGAAAUUUACGCUAAUACCGCAUACGAUCUAAGGAUGAAAGCGGGGGAUUCGCAAGAACCUCGCGCGAUUGGAGCGGCUGAUAUCAGAUUAGGUUGUUGGUGAGGUAAAAGCUCACCAAGCCGACGAUCUGUAGCUGGUUUGAGAGAACGACCAGCCACACUGGGACUGAGACACGGCCCAGACUCCUACGGGAGGCAGCAGUGGGGGAAUUUUGGGACAAUGGGCGCAAGCCUGAUCCAGCAAUGCCGCGUGCAGGAUGAAGGCCUUCGGUUGUAACGUAGCUUUGUUACGGAACGAAACGGUA
rnacentral:rRNA from 1 species